CAAGACCUUGGCGGUUCCAAAGCAAGCAUAGAUGGUGUAAUGGUCUUUCUGCUUUAUAUGACCUUCUGAAGAUUGAAGAUGUUGACUGUGGACUUUGAAGGAAGUCAUGUGAAAACUCAUCUUACAAUGCUUAAAAUGUUGAGUUGAAGGAUCUUCAUGAUGAAAUUUCCAUAAACGGUAAGACUUCUAGGUAAUAUUCUCCCUCCCAUCCUCAGGGAGCUCCACUGGUUCCAGACCUGGUCUUAGACCCAAAGUGUAUGAUUCAUGUAAGCAGAGAAGACCUCCGAGUCUCAGGUAUUUGUGAUAUGAGACAACGCUGAACGGCUUUGCAGGCAAAUAAUAAGAUGGUUCUCCUGAUGUCUGUUAUCUCCCUGUGCUGGACCGGCUCUAACAACAAUAAAACCAUCUC